rnacentral:lncRNA from 1 species
UCACUGUGCCUACGGGCAGUCCUUGGAUUCCCUGAAUUUUUUCUCGGGAAAUGAAACGCGCUUACGGUACCUACACACGUCCCAAAUAACUCAAAAAUCAUACCCAAGGCCUAUUCGACCAAUUUUGAAAUUCUGGCACGGCGGCUCCACCGUGCUUCGGCGACGAGCGGCGGCGAUCCGCCUCGGGUUGUCUAUUUCUGGUCGUUUUUUGCCGAAUUCAGCCAAACUUGCAUUGGUUCCUGUGAGAAAACACCCCUAGGGCCCUCAGUAGGCCGAAAAAACACCAAAAACUGAAACUUACCGGUGCUGGGGCU